UGGGGAAUAUUGCACAAUGGGCGCAAGCCUGAUGCAGCCAUGCCGCGUGUGUGAAGAAGGCCUUCGGGUUGUAAAGCACUUUCAGCGAGGAGGAAGGUGGUGAGCUUAAUACGCUCAUCAAUUGACGUUACUCGCAGAAGAAGCACCGGCUAACUCCGUGCCAGCAGCCGCGGUAAUACGGAGGGUGCAAGCGUUAAUCGGAAUUACUGGGCGUAAAGCGCACGCAGGCGGUUUGUUAAGUCAGAUGUGAAAUCCCCGGGCUCAACCUGGGAACUGCAUUUGAAACUGGCAAGCUAGAGUCUCGUAGAGGGGGGUAGAAUUCCAGGUGUAGCGGUGAAAUGCGUAGAGAUCUGGAGGAAUACCGGUGGCGAAGGCGGCCCCCUGGACGAAGACUGACGCUCAGGUGCGAAAAGCGUGGGGCAGCAAACAGGAUUAGAUACCCUGGUAGUCCACGCUGUAAACGAUGUCGAUUUGGAGGUUGUGCCCUUGAGGCGUGGCUUCCGAGCUAACGCGUUAAAUCGACCGCCUGGGGAGUACGGCCGCAAGGUUAAAACUCAAAUGAAUUGAC
rnacentral:rRNA from 1 species